rnacentral:rRNA from 1 species
ACGGGUGAGUAACGCGUGGGAAUCUACCGUACCCUACGGAAUAGCUCCGGGAAACUGGAAGUAAUACCGUAUACGCCCUUCGGGGGAAAGAUUUAUCGGGGUAUGAUGAGCCCGCGUUGGAUUAGCUAGUUGGUGGGGUAAAGGCCUACCAAGGCGACGAUCCAUAGCUGGUCUGAGAGGAUGAUCAGCCACAUUGGGACUGAGACACGGCCCAAACUCCUACGGGAGGCAGCAGUGGGGAAUAUUGGACAAUGGGCGCAAGCCUGAUCCAGCCAUGCCGCGUGAGUGAUGAAGGUCUUAGGAUUGUAAAGCUCUUUCACCGAUGAAGAUAAUGACGGUAGUCGGAGAAGAAGCCCCGGCAAACUUCGUGCCAGCAGCCGCGGUAAUACGAAGGGGGCUAGCGUUGUUCGGAAUUACUGGGCGUAAAGCGCACGUAGGCGGAUAAUUAAGUCAGGGGUGAAAUCCCGCAGCUCAACUGCGGAACUGCCUUUGAUACUGGUUAUCUUGAGUAUGGAAGAGGUAAGUGGAAUUGCGAGUGUAGAGGUGAAAUUCGUAGA